CAGGAUGGAUUAUAUUCCCAUAAACAAAAUUAUUGUAGAGGCGAGGGAGUUGUCAGCUAAAAUCAGGCACAUUUUCAUCUAGACAAAUUUUGGUGCAAAAUGAUUGGUAGCUAUAUUUUAAAUGCGGCUACGUUGGCACGUAACACACGACUAACAGGUAACAGUGUUCACUUUGGAAGUGUUCGCUUUCAGCUUCUUUUCAGCGGCUUGUGUUGCAGCUGUACAGCCAGCCGCUCGGCUGCAGGUUGCGCAUGCUACUGCUCAGCUGCAGCUGCUAGACAUGGUGCUAGCUGACUGGCUGCAACUGUUAUAGCUCCUGUAGCCGCAGCCGCAGCUGCAGCCAUCUACCUCUACUACAGCUAUCUCAAGGUGAAGAAAGAAGCUGUUGUACUUACUUUAUUACAAUCAAGUACAUCAACAUUUUUCUUUGGUGUACAUCUGCGUGUUUUGAAAUUUGAGAUCAAAUGGACAAUGGAAAAGCAUCAUUCAUUACACCAUUGAACUUGGACAGGGGAAUUCGGUUGGUCAGAAUAAAACGGAAGACCUUUGAUUGAUCGUAUUGCUUUCACUUAAUCACACUCUUGGCCACUGUGGACUAACUACCUGCAAGAUGAAUCCAAAAAAUAGUGACAAUGAAAUUUUCAUUUUUAACUUAUCGUGUAAUACACAUUGCCAACGCUGCUACAAACCUCUAGUGUGCUGAAAACUAACUGCAUCCGGCUAGCAACUAGUGACGGUUCCUCUGAAUUUCCUGUGACAGCCAUCUGCUCCAGCUGCAAGGUUUUCACCGGUAACCUGCAGCAUCAGUAUUAGCACAGCAUCAGUAUUAGCAACAUGUAUGAGAUUCUGAUAUAAAAGAAGAACACCGCUGGCUGGAGCUGCUCUUACCAUGCCAUUCCUUUGACAUAGUAAGCGUUUGCGAUUAGAGCACAAAAACCUUUCCACUGAUGCAAGACAUCAGCAGACACCGGCGGGUUAGGAGACCACCUGAUAACUGUUGGUUGUGGUGUGCACAGUAUUGUGAUGAAUACUAUACUGAGCCACAAAAUGCAUUCACGAAUCUGCAUACAAGAGUAUCACGGAGACCAAUGAUAAAACUACAAAGAUCUUAUAGGGGGUAUUUACAUCUCUCUUCAUAUGUUGCCAAUGAUAACUAGCGGAACUUCUUAUUUAAAAAAAAACUAGUGGACUUGAAAAUUAAUAUAAAUAAGGACAUAGCAUGUAAUCAAAGCACAUUUUUUUGCUAUAGUAACAACAUCAAAGAAAAUUUGCUUUAGUUGACUAUAAAGUGCAAAGUAAAUGUAAGACAGUAGAUUAUAUGAAAACAGUAGUAGUAUAGUAAAUCAGAUGAUGCAACUCAUAUCGAUUGGAGUAUGUUGACCUCAAAGGAGUGGACUUUGAACUUCAAGCUGAUUUCACCUAAGCCUUCAAUCUCAAGACCAGAAUCUUCAAUAUCCAUAAGUUCCUUUCUAAGCCCCUCAUCUGUACACCCUAGGGCAUAUGCGUUCACUCCAGCACUGACAAACUCCUGAUAACAAUGACAGUCACAGUAAUUACUAAUUGCUGCAUAUAAAAGUUAUGUAAGGGAAGAUUUCAACAAGAAUCAAUACUUCUAGGUUCUCUCCACCUCCUCGAUCAAUAACAUUCUUAUACCGCUUGAAUAAAGUGAUCGCUAUGUUACGUGAUGAGCGGAAGUCGUCAUCUGACGAAGCAUUAACAUGGAAUCGAUGCUGCAUACAACAAGAUGCUUAAGAGGGAAAAAAACAGUGAUUGAAAUCAUCAAAUGGAGGACAAGGAAUACCAGCCAGUGCCUUGUAGUUCUUUCAUUUAAACUUUUGCACAGGUGAUGGCUCACUCUAGUAAAGUUAACUUUGUAGCUAUGAACAAUGUGUGGCUUCUGUACAUGAUGGCCUUCCACUGAAUUGUAAACUGCACUGCAUCCUAAUUUACUAUGCAAAAUAGAAGCACCCUUUCCAGACAGUUUUAGGUCCCAGCAAGAACCGGGCCUCACAAAAGGAACAGUUGCUUGUAGCAUCAGCAUGACUAAGUGCUCAUCAGACUCCAAGCGAUCAGCAUCAGAAGUGGCAGGCAAUUCAACCUACAAUAGAGUAUGUUUAAUCAGUUAUUGAAUCACCGAAUGAGGAUUAAGAAAACCACGGAUCUUGCAUCCUCAAAUUAUGCUAUAAUACCAACAGCAACCAGCUAGUCACCCACUCUUUAGUAGCAUAUGAGUUAUGUGUCCAAAAAAAUAAAAACAAUCAAUGGAAUAUAUUGAUGAAGAUAUUAUUUCUCAAUGGCAAAGAUGGAUACUAUUUCUUACACAUCUUACCAUUAAGUUUGGAAAUAAAAGCAAUGAUAAUGGAAUAUAUUGAUGAAAAACAGACCAAAUGGGAAGUGUUAUGCCAUCAAUAUAUUAAAAAUAAGAGAACCAAAAGACCUGCUACUUGACAAGAACAAGGUAGGUUACAAAAUGUUGCAGCAAAAUUUUCACAGACCAAGUUGAACAGUGAACUAUCGUGCCUACGUACGGUUUCAAAAUACACUUUCAAAUAUCAUGAUACAAGAUAAAUGCCUUUAACAACUCACAAAUACUCAAUAAAAAGGAUGGAAAAUAAAUAGUACCCCAUAAUCUAAAAAUCUGCGCAUUGGGAUUAUUUCAGUGGGCAAUACUUCAUAUCAGACAACCAUCAUUUGAUUACAGAUUAGCACUGAAAUUUGCGCGUACGUUGCAUACAGAAGCAACUCAUGGUUGGCAAAAGCUAAAAGGGGAAAACAGUCAGUAUCGGUAAAGAUAAAUUAGGCAAUGGUCCCCUUUUUAACAACCCAACCAAAUACUAUAGCUGAAGAAGAUUCUAGUUCACAACUCCCAAUCCAUAUAUGCAACCCAACCACAUACACCAGAUCCCAGGCCCUAAAUGAAACGAUCCAACCACGAGCGAGGAGGAAACGGAUCAGCAGGCUUACCUCCCGAGGGGCAGCGGCCGGAAGCUGGCGGAACCUACAGGGCGACGGGAGGAAGGGGGAAGGUGAAGAGGUGGAAAUAUAGAUACGCGGAGGGGUUAAGUGGC
rnacentral:lncRNA from 1 species